GCCUUCGUGGUGUAGUGGUCAGCACGCUCGACGCGUAAUCGAGAGAUCCUUGGUUCGAUUCCUGGCAAAAAGUA
rfam:Stegodyphus mimosarum contig18892, whole genome shotgun sequence.